rnacentral:rRNA from 1 species
GAACGCCGGUAGCGAAGGCGGCCCUCUGGAACUGAACUGACGCUGAGGCGCGAAAGCGUGGGUAGCAAACAGGAUUAGAUACCCUGGUAGUCCACGCCCUAAACGGUGGGCAUUAGGUGUAGGAGCUCGUAAAAGGUUCUGUGCCGAACGGAAAGCAUUACAUGCCCCGCCUGGGGAGAUACAGUCGCGACGUUGAAACUCAAAGGAAUUGAUCGGGGGCCCGCACAAGCGGUGGAGCAUGUGGUUUAAUUCGACGCUACGCGAAGAACCUUACCUGGGUUUGACAUGUUAGUAGUAAAAACCUGAAAAGGGGCUGACCAUGAGGUAACUGCAGGGAGAUAAACACAGGUGCUGCAUGGCUGUCGUCAGCUCGUGCCGUGAGGUGUUGGGUUAACGUCCCGCAAAGAGCGCAACCGUUAUCCUCUGAUGGUCGUACACGAUCUCUCUGGGGAAACUGCCGGCGAUGAGCUGGAGGAUAGGUGGGGAUGACGUCAAGUCAGCAUGGCCCUUAUGUCCAGGGAGACACACGUGCUACAAUGACUGGUACAGAGGGAUGCAAUACCGUGAGGUGGAGCCAAUCCUUAAAAGCAGUCUCAAUGGGGAUCGGAGUGUGCAAUUCGACUCCGUGAACGCGGAAUCGAUAGUAAUCAUGGAUCAGCCAUGCCAUGGUGAAUACGUUCCCGGGCCUUGUACACACCGCCCGUCACACCACGAAAGCCUGUUGU